GGCCCGGGGUCCGCGGCUUCCGGCGCCGGCCGCCGCCUACGCCCUGCGCGCCCGCCAGGAGGCAGCUUCGUGCUGAAAGCCUCUUUCCGGCGCGCUCCGCCCGUGCUUCCCUUCGAUAGCUCAGCUGGUAGAGCGGAGGACUGUAGUGGGAUGUGCGGCAGUCAUCCUUAGGUCGCUGGUUCGAUUCCGGCUCGAAGGAGUAGCCUGCAUUUUGGGCUUGCCACGCACUGAAAGCAAACGCCUCCGUCCAUCGUCCCUGGGUCGUUCCCCCUCUCCACGGAGGGAUCGCAACAAACCUUGCGCAGUGGCUCAGUACCACUAGUCCGCCUUAUAAAGAAGAAAACCUGAGGCUUCGGCCCCUCCUUCAUGUUUGCUUUUAGUUUCCAAUUAAGCCCAGUUUGCUGCCCUGCGUCCGGGCACCAAAGAACGCAAGAAGGGACAGAACCUCCCGGACUUGCCCCGACGGCCCGCGGGACUGGGAUGUGCAGAACAGAACCUCUUAGUGACCCCGGGGACGGCCCCGUAGACGCGCCGGCCCCCAGCCUCGCUGGCCCCGUCGGCCGCCGGGGUGGCCCCAGCCUGGCGGGACACGUCCUGCGCCCGUCCGCGGCGCGCAGCAGCCCUGCUCUGCAGCCGAGCCACCCCGGAGCGGCUCGUUGGUCUAGGGGUAUGAUUCUCGCUUUGGGUGCGAGAGGUCCCGGGUUCAAAUCCCGGACGAGCCCUGCUCUUUUAGCUGCUGGAAAAAGUUUGCCUCUCUACAAACUUUCUCGCGCUCUGACAGUUCCUAGGUUCCCGGAGCUGCCCCGCGAGCCUCCCCGCGUCCCCCUGGCUCUUGGUGCGUCUGCGGCUGGAGUUCCUCCUGGCAGUCAUCUGCAGCUGGUUCCCGUGUGGAAACCCACAUUGGUUGUCCGCUGGGGGGUUGGGGUUACUGCUUUGGGUUUUGCAGGCGGGCCCAGGCUGGAGGACCGGCCUGGAGAAACGCCCACCCUCCGUUCCUCUGCACCCGCCCCAAUCUGUUUGCGUGGCCAGGCGACGCCGACCUCACCGAUUUCCGCGACGAGAUUCCCAAGCGAGCUUCACUUCUGCUGUUCGGCAUCCCGCUGGGAAAGCAGGGGCGAGGAACAGCCACCGCCUCCAGCUCCGCGGCCAGGCACGGUCUAAGCAGCGAUGGCUCUGCAGAGGACCCCGUGCUUGCUUCUGCUCCUGGUGCUGAUCCUGCUUGGUUUAGGGCUUGUGCAGCCCUCCUAUGGCCAGGAUCGGAUGUACCAGAGGUUUCUUCGGCAGCACGUGGACCCUCAGGUGACAGGUGGCGAUAACAGCUACUGCAACUUGAUGAUGCAGAGACGGAAGAUGACUUCUUACCAGUGCAAACGCUUCAACACCUUCAUCCAUGAAGACAUCUGGAACAUCCGUGGCAUCUGCAGCACCGCCAGUAUCCAGUGCAAGAACGGCAAGAUGAACUGUCAUGAGGGUGUAGUGAGAGUCACAGACUGCAGAGAGACAGGGAGCUCCAGGGCCCCCAACUGUAGAUACAGGGCGAGCGCCAGCACGAGGCGAGUUGUCAUCGCCUGUGAGGGUAACCCAGAGGUCCCAGUGCACUUUGACAGAUAGAUGCCACCCAGGCUUUGUCUUCUUUGCUCGGGUCUUCUACCCAUAGACGCUCAGUAUAACCCAUUGUAAUAAGCUCAUCACAUGCAAGAGAAGAAGGAAGGUUCUCAUCCUACUGAUGGCUUGGUUCUCCCAGAUUCUAUCUGCUGGAACUUACGCUUUGCAUGAACUUAGUUAGCAUUUCGACUAUUACAAAGAGGCUUUGGCUGCCCAAGCUGUCUCAUUCCAACGCCCUAACACCCACUCGAGAGGCCAAUUCUGCUACUUUAUUCAGAAGCUGAGAGUUAAAACAGGAUUUGAAGACCGUGAAAGCAGUGGCGGAUCUCAGACAAAGAUCCAGCUGACCAGGGUCCCCACAUAGGGCUUUACCUGCUUUAUUGUGGAUGCUUUCUGUUAUUUCCGGGUUUCAUCCUUAGGGGGACCAUUUAGAGUCUGGAAAUCACAAAAUGAGAACUCUGAGGUGCUUGGUGUUAUUAUGGUCUGUGGCUAGUAAGAUUAAAUAAAAAAGCUAGAUCAAGAAUGUAGUAGACCGCC
rnacentral:tRNA from 1 species